UCGAGGAAGCUGGCGGAAGUAAGCUACACAUUUGCCUUCGAACUAUGCCGAGAGUUUACCGAAAUCGUAAACUGACGACUUCGUUCAAUGUCGCCAGCUCUGGGUGUCCGGCCGCCGUGGCCAUGUUUGUGUCCGAUUUCCGCAAGGAGUUCUACGAGGUGGUUCAAAACCAGAGGGUCCUUCUCUUUGUGGCCUCGGACGUGGACGCUCUGUGCGCUUGCAAGAUUCUUCAGGCUCUGUUCCAGUGUGAUCACGUGCAGUAUACGCUGGUUCCGGUUUCUGGGUGGCAAGAACUUGAAACUGCAUUUCUUGAGCAUAAAGAACAGUUCCAUUAUUUUAUUCUCAUAAACUGUGGAGCUAAUGUAGACCUAUUGGAUAUCCUUCAGCCUGAUGAAGAUGCCAUAUUUUUUGUGUGUGACACCCACAGGCCAGUUAAUGUCGUGAAUGUCUAUAAUGACACCCAGAUCAAACUACUCAUUAAACAAGAUGAUGAUCUUGAAGUUCCUGCCUAUGAUGAUAUCUUCAGGGAUGAAGAAGAAGGUGAAGAGCAUUCAGGAAAUGAAAGUGACAAUGGGUCAGAGCCUUCUGUGAAGCGCACACGGUUAGAAGAGGAGAUAGUGGCACAAACCAUGAAGAGGAGGCAGCGAAGAGAGUGGGAGGCCCGGAGAAGAGACAUCCUCUUUGACUAUGAACAGUAUGAAUAUCACGGGACAUCGUCAGCCAUGGUGAUGUUUGACCUGGCGUGGAUGAUGUCAAAAGACUUGAACGACAUGCUGUGGUGGGCCAUCGUUGGACUAACGGACCAGUGGGUGCAAGACAAGAUCACCCAGAUGAAGUACGUAACGGACGUUGGCAUCCUGCAGCGCCAUGUGUCUCGGCACAACCACCGGAAUGAGGAUGAGGAGAACUCCCUCUCUGUGGACUGUACACGGAUCUCCUUCGAGUAUGACCUCCGCCUGGCACUCUACCAGCACUGGUCCCUCCAUGACAGCCUAUGCAACACAUGCUACACUGCAGCCAGGUUCAAGCUCUGGUCUGUGCAUGGGCAGAAGCGUCUCCAGGAGUUCCUUGCAGACGUGGGCCUCCCCUUGAAACAGGUGAAGCAGAAGUUCCAGUCCAUGGAUGUCUCCUUGAAGGAGAAUUUGCGGGAGAUGAUCGAAGAGUCUGCAAAUAAAUUUGGGAUGAAGGACAUGCGCGUGCAGACUUUCAGCAUUCACUUCGGGUUCAAGCAUAAGUUCCUGGCCAGUGACGUGGUCUUUGCCACCAUGUCACUGAUGGAGAGUCCCGAGAAGGACGGCUCAGGGACAGAUAACUUCAUCCAGGCUUUGGACAGUCUCUCCAGGAGUAACCUGGACAAACUCUACCAUGGCCUGGAACUCGCCAAGAAGCAGCUGCGAGCCACGCAGCAGACCAUCGCCAGCUGCCUCUGCACCAACCUUGUCAUCUCCCAGGGGCCCUUCCUCUACUGCUCCCUCAUGGAGGGCACUCCGGACAUUGUGCUAUUUUCCAAGCCAGCAUCCCUGAGCCUGCUCAGCAGACACCUGCUGAAGUCCUUUGUGUGUUCGACAAAGAACCGGCGCUGCAAGCUGCUGCCUUUGGUGAUGGCCGCACCCCUGAGUGUGGAGCAGGGCACUGUGACUGUGGUGGGCAUCCCCCCAGAGACCGACAGCUCAGACAGGAAGAACUUUUUUGGGCGGGCGUUUGAGAAGGCAGCAGAGGGCACCAAUUCUCGGACGCUGCACAACCAUUUUGACCUCUCAGUAAUUGAACUGAAAGCAGAGGAUCGGAGCAAGUUUCUGGAUGCACUUGUUUCUCUCCUGUCCUGAUGGGCCCCCCCGCACAGUGGAUGCUCAUACUCAGCCCUGCAUCUCCUUGAGCCCUGGGCUGGAGCCACUGCUGUGGUAGACAGGCCUUGUCAAGACUCUGAGAGUUUGAUUUCUUCUGAUGCGUCCUCCUUCUCCUAAUUUAUAUUAACUGGGUUUUAUUUAGACUAUAAGUUAUGGACAUGGUUUUAGACACCCACAGUGGGUUUUUAAUGGAAUAAAAUGUUUGUUUUAGC